rnacentral:rRNA from 1 species
UAGGGAAUCUUCCGCAAUGGGCGAAAGCCUGACGGAGCAACGCCGCGUGAGUGAUGAAGGUCUUCGGAUCGUAAAACUCUGUUAUUAGGGAAGAACAAAUGUGUAAGUAACUAUGCACGUCUUGACGGUACCUAAUCAGAAAGCCACGGCUAACUACGUGCCAGCAGCCGCGGUAAUACGUAGGUGGCAAGCGUUAUCCGGAAUUAUUGGGCGUAAAGCGCGCGUAGGCGGUCUUUUAAGUCUGAUGUGAAAGCCCACGGCUCAACCGUGGAGGGUCAUUGGAAACUGGAAAACUUGAGUGCAGAAGAGGAAAGUGGAAUUCCAUGUGUAGCAGUGAAAUGCGCAGAGAUAUGGAGGAACACCAGUGGCGAAGGCGACUUUCUGGUCUGUAACUGACGCUGAUGUGCGAAAGCGUGGGGAUCAAACAGG